rnacentral:lncRNA from 1 species
GCUGACGCACGAUCCAGUUAAGCACAAGCUGGAUAAGCGAGCUGACACUAUGCCCUAAACUAGAAGGACACUCCAAAGUCCCAGUGAGCAAUAGUUGUUAAAUCAGCUUGAUAAAGAAGUCUUGCCUCAGGGUACAAAUAGUACCAAUAGAUCAAGCUCGUACGAUAAGUCCCAACUAGCAAUCACACCAAUCGUAGUACAAAGCUUAUCAUGACGACAAGCUAUAAAAGCAACAACCAUAAGUCUAGGAAGUCUGACCGGAAUUACACUCCCCCGCGAGUUUUUAUGUGCCUAACUUCAAGCACAACUUGAUUUCUGUUUCGGUCCUAACUAACAAGGGCUUUAGGGUUAGUUUUGAGGAUACACAGGCGAUUAUAGAGGGGAGGCCUGCAUAUCUCUGCCACCAAAUGUGCGUCUGGCCUUUACAAAUUCAUGAGUAGUGCUGUACCCGCUGUCGAGUCCUCCAUGUUGUAAUUCCGGUCAGACUUCUUAGGAUUAUGGUUGUUGUCUUUUAUAGCUCGUCGUCGCGAUAAGCUUUGUACUACGAUUGGUGUGAUUGCUAGUUGGGUCUUAUCAUACGAACGUGAUCUAUUGGUACUAUUUGUACCCUGAGGCAAGACUUCAUUAUCAAGCUGAUUGUAACAACUGUUGCUCACUGGGACUUUGGAGUGUCCUUCGAGUUAGGGCAUAGUGUCAGCUCGCUUAUCCAGCUUGUGCUUAACUGGAUCUUGUGUCAGCUAUUUCUGGCUAUUUACGAAUAGUCACAACAGGUUAUGAGCCCCGCUUGACGUUGCGGUGGCUGCAGUGAUCGUACGCUUUGUUGAGCUCGUACCUUCAAAUUCCAAUUUUGAGUCAUACGUGAUUCUGAGAGAAUGUCCGACAUUGCUGGUUGGAGAGAUGUGCUGAUGGUCGCCAACUCGGCCGACUGGUUCAUCAAGAUGAAGGCCAUCUUGGAGUGUGAGGACCUGGCGUCAGUCGUCACCCAGGACUACAAUCUACCCGCCGAUCCUACGGAGCAGGAGAAGGAGAUGAGAAAGAUAAGGAAGGCUCGGGCGCUAAUAAUCCUUUGGCUUGCAUCCGUCGACCAUAAGAUUCUUAUCGAGUCAACCACCGAAGCUAAGGAUCUCUGGGCGGGCCUUGAGCAGUGGGCCGGGCAAUUAAAUGAGGCUGAGUUGAGCGCGGUAUCACAAUCUUUCCACUCCAUCAUGAUGCACCAUGACGAAAGGGUGCACGACUAUGUGACCCGCGCGGUCAAUAUGUACGAGAAGCUAAAUAGAUAUAAAGAUUUCCGCAUUUCGGAGAAAAAUGUGAUUGUGCUAGUUGUUCGUGGCCUGCCUGAUGCCUUGUAUAAAUCAGAGAAGAGAGUUUUUGUCACGUCCGCCUACCCGAAGAACUUCCUGGAGCUGAAGGAGA